CCCUUAGAUGUUCUGGGCCGCACGCGUGCCACACUGAGUGGAUCAGCGGGUCAGGUUGCGCGAAAGUGUUUCCUAAUCUUGAAAUCCGCUCGUGAUGGGGAUUGACGGUUGCAAUUUUCCGUCAUGAACGAGGAAUACCUUGUAAGCGCGGGUCAUCAUCCCGCGCUGAAUACGUCCCUGCCCUUUGUACACACCGCCCGUCGCUCCUACCGAUUGAGUGGUCCGGUGAGGCUUUGGGAUCUGAGCGGAAAGAGCGUUUCGCUGUUUCUGCUCGGAAAACUCAGUCGAACCUUAUCAUUUAGAGGAAGGAGAAGUCGUAACA
rnacentral:rRNA from 1 species